CAUCUGACGAGUCCCAAAUAGGACGAAACGUGCGUCAAG
rnacentral:hammerhead_ribozyme from 1 species